rnacentral:lncRNA from 1 species
GGAGGGGGAGGGGGACGAUAGUCAAGGGGGAAAAAGAGAAGAGAGAGAAAACGGAUCUGUGGAAUUAAAGAAAAAGAGCUUAGUCGCAGACCUCACCUGGGACUUCUUCUCCAAGCUUUCUUCCUCAAAAUCUCUUUCAAUCAUUUUGAACCAUGAAAAGAACAGCCAUGUAAAACCACUCCCGUCAACUCAAUGCUUUGUCGUCGCCUCGCCGGAUUUCCACCAUCGUCGGCUAACACUUUUCCGCAGUGAAAAUCAACUCCUUUACCCCCAAAAUCGACCACCAUAAACACCCAAGAACAGCCACUAAACCACCUAAAAACGUCAUCCAAAAAUGCUGUCAAAACUAGCCCCCUUUUUGUCCAUAACGACCCCAAAACAGCUUCCGAAUCAGCCCCAAAGAAGCUUGAAAUUGAGCUGAAAAACAACCCUCUUUCCUCACAAAACAACAAUAUUUUUGGUCGAGUUCGAGUCGAAUUUUUCGACGAGCAUUACUCGGUGAGUUUCGAGGUUCCGGCGGGGUCGCAUUCAGAUCCGGUUGUCAUUCAAUUUGUUCUGGCCAAAAUUGUGAUUCUGGGUUUGCCUCAUUAAUACAAAGGUUCAUCUCCCUUUUUAAUUUUGUUCUUCUUUCUAAUGUUCUGGAUCAUUUUUGUAUUGAUUUAAUUUGUGUGAUAUGGAUAGACUUUUAUUUUUUUAGUUUUCUGUGUUUGAACAAUACGCUUUUGAGUAUGUUUCCUCUUAGUUCAUUCCUUUAAUUUUCUUAGCAAAUCAUAUGGUUAAUCUCAUUAAUAACCCAAUUUUUUCUUAUCUAUUUUGAGUAGUUUCCUUAGUAAGCAAUUUGUCUUGCGAAGUGAUGAUAUAGGAGAUUUUAAGUUACAAGAGUUUUCUUCAAUGAACUAAUGAGCUCUCCAGUUCAUUUUGCCUUGGUUCCAAUUUAAUCCUUUAUCUUAGUGACUAAUUUGUAAAGCUGAAAAUUAAAAGUUAGAAGGAAUGUUAGCUUUGUUGAAGCUUAUCACUGUAAUUGGUCCUUGAUUGUUAUUGCCUCGUAAGAGAAAUGGGCCAAACAUAAUUCCUACUAAUAGGCCCAAAAUGUGGAAUGGUUUCAAGAUAGAAUGUUAGUAAUGUAUUUAGUCGUAGAUAUCUUUAAUAGUUUAGCAAUACAAUUGAUCUUGUUAGUAAUUCAUAAAAUCUUUAUAGUUAUUAUCGUGAUUAUGUACACGUUCGCGUGACAUAAUUAUGAUUCCAAAAAAUAAAUUAAGGUACUCGUUUGUGCAACUUUGGUCAAAACAACCUUAAAUAUAAUAAAAUGUUAUUAAUUGCGUGAACAUACAUGUGUCAUGAUUUUGGCACAAUAAACAAAAUGGAUUUCACACACGUAAUUCGUUUCAAAGAUAAUUUUAUAUUUUAAUAUAAAAGCGGACAGAUAAAACAUGAAAACCAAUAAAUCACAGUUUAUCUAAAAUUAAUCCAAGCCAAGUUGUAGUCAAUAAAGCGACCGUGCUAGAACAACGGGACUCGGGGAAUGCCUUACACCUUCUCCCCGGUCAACAGAAUUCCUUCCCCGAAAUUUAUUUUUGCAGACCAAUAAUAAUAGAGUCAAACCUUUCUUUGACUAGGGAUUCAAAUAAAAGGUGACUUGGAACACCCAAAAAAUCAAUUCCAAGUGGCGACUCUAUAAAUAAAAUAAUCCAUAUUCAAAUUUGUCACUUUAAUUGGAAAAACUUUUUAACCCACAAUAAUUCAUAAAGCGAUAUAUUUUGUGGGGUAAAAAAGGGGUGUGACAAUCGGUUCACGUUAAAUACUCGAAUGACAGAGUGGCACGUGAAACUGGGAGCAGGCGGAAGAUGAAGCGAGUGGAGACUCAGACCUAGUUCAACAACUUCGGUUGGCCUCGGGUAAACCCCGAAGGGAACAUUAUCAACGGGGGAUAAAUAAAUAUUUUUCAACAAAGGACAUUCAAUGAAGAAUAUUCAUCAAUAUUAAAUACACAUCUGCUACAAAGAAUUUUUGCAUUCAUAACAUGCCGUUACGUAUUCAUGAAUGGCCCUCAUUAUCGUCAUUUAAGAGGGGCAUGAUCCUAGAACCUUGUUCCCUAGGUAUAACUAUAAAUAGUGGCUUCAACGACCAUUGUAAGGGGGGAAUUCUGAAAAACUUACGCUACACACUAUACCAAGCUAAAUAAUGCUUUGUUUUCUGUUUAACGAUAUUCUUAUUGUUGCCUUCAGAAGCCUUACUCCCGGAACCAAGCUAUCCGCUACUUUAUCUCGAUUAUAACGCUAAAUCUUGCAUUUAUUUAAUUUAUUUAUUAUUUUGGGAUCAAAUCGAUUGCCAUUCGCUUGUCUAUAACCACGCUAUAAAUUCAACUGUACCGAAUUACGGGUAUAUAGUUUGGCGCCCACCGUGGGGUUUAGACAGUUGCGUAAUUGAGUUGAUCCUUGCAUCUAUUACUAAUAUGUUUGAAUUUUUGUUAGCAAAAAUCAUAAAAAUAAAUGGCAGCUAACGAUGUCAACAUCGCACACGAUGUUCAGACACAAGAGAACAUGCCUCAAUGCGAGGAUUCGUUCAGUGCCACCCGCAACGAGGUGGAUGUAGUAACGCUGGUUCAUGGCGGGCAUCCCCGAUACAUACAGGAGCCGACUCAUGAUGAUGCUGAGGAUGAGCACGUUGCGAAAGCGGUGGGGAUCUUGAGAGAACAACAAAAGGCCAUCAUGGUCAUCUCUCACAGCAAGACCAAGCCAUUACAGAAUUGAGGCAAACGUUGAUGUCAUACCUCCUGUUCCGGGGAAAGAAGUUUUU